rnacentral:tRNA from 1 species
UGCCCCCAUCGUCUAGAGGCCUAGGACAUCGGCCUUUCAAGCCGGUAACAGCGAUUCGAAUUCGCUUGGGGGCAU